CCCCUGGGGGUCCAGUGGUUAGGACUUGGCUCUUUCACUGCUAUAACCUGGGUUCAAUCCCUGGUCAGGGAA
rnacentral:tRNA from 1 species